rnacentral:ncRNA from 1 species
ACAAAUACGAUGAAAAGAAGAGUAGAGUAUCAAAAGUCUUCAUAGAGAGUCCCGGUUGGUGAAAAGGGAUAUGACGAGUCGAACUUGAAUAUGGUCUUGGAGUAGUACAGUUGAGAGUUUACUUUAGAUUGUACCGGUUGCACCCGUUAGCGUGCUAGAGUUUGAUAGAACUUGAAGAGGUUGUUGUAGUGAUGCAAUAACGAAUUAAGGUGGUAACGCGAUAACAUUCGUCCUUAUG